CUCAGGAAUAAUCUAUUUAUUCCUAGUACCUACUCUCCCCAACAUCCUCCCACACUAUAUGUUUGUUACCUUGGGGCAUCCAAAUACAGUAAUCAAGUUGAAUUUCUUCUCUUUCCACAGGAAGUCUGCACCUUGAUUAUCACAGAAGCAUUUCCUGAAGACUCUGAGGAGUUCAAGUGUAUUGCAGAAAAUGAGGCUGGCACUGCAGCUUCUGCAACAAACUCUUAGUUUCCCCAGGUAAUAACUCUUCAAAAUCUCUUUGCUACAAUUCAGCCCUGAGCCAAAAGGAAGAGUCUUUGUUUCCAUCUGAACUCAUGAUUAAUUAUAUUUUUGAAAGAAAGUAGUAGAGAAAUCAGAGCGUCCUCCCAAGUUAUCCAUGAGCAAAUUUUCUCCAAAACUGGCCUCCUCUCUCUGGAGCACCAAAAGCUACACAAAGGACACAAAUCCAAACGAUACCCCCAUAAACUUUAUGCCAAUUACUCCUGAACCAGCCAGUCAUAAUGAACAUGAGAUCCAGUUUCCAAAGAAGGAUUUCUGUACCAUCAGUGGAAAUACUUUUGAGCUACAAGCACAAUAGUAAAGGGAGACAGACCCAACAUUCAUUCAUUCAACAAAUAUUCCUGGUUCUGUAGAUAGAUCAUGACAAAGCUCCUGUCCUCAGGGAGUUUGCAUUCUGACAUGAGUCACUUUAUGUCGGUCCUCCCUUGCUUUUCAGUAUGCAUUUCACCAUGGCUGAAAUAUUAAGCCCUGUGCUUAGAUUCACAGUUAAGG
rnacentral:lncRNA from 10 species